rnacentral:rRNA from 1 species
AGUGAACGCUGGCGGUAGGCCUAACACAUGCAAGUCGAACGGCAGCACAGUAAGAGCUUGCUCUUACGGGUGGCGAGUGGCGGACGGGUGAGGAAUACAUCGGAAUCUACUUUUUCGUGGGGGAUAACGUAGGGAAACUUACGCUAAUACCGCAUACGACCUACGGGUGAAAGCAGGGGAUCUUCGGACCUUGCGCGAUUGAAUGAGCCGAUGUCGGAUUAGCUAGUUGGCGGGGUAAAGGCCCGCCAAGGCGACGAUCCGUAGCUGGUCUGAGAGGAUGAUCAGCCACACUGGAACUGAGACACGGUCCAGACUCCUACGGGAGGCAGCAGUGGGGAAUAUUGGACAAUGGGCGCAAGCCUGAUCCAGCCAUACCGCGUGGGUGAAGAAGGCCUUCGGGUUGUAAAGCCCUUUUGUUGGGAAAGAAAAGCAGCAGGUUAAUACCCCGCUGUUCUGACGGUACCCAAAGAAUAAGCACCGGCCAACUUCGUG